GAUUUCUGGUCUGGUGCGCCUGGCCCACCACGUAAGUGUGUGAGUGCUGGGUCGCGCCUGCCAUCCUUCUAGUAAACGUAGCUACCCUUCACUGGGCCAGUUACGGGAACUAGAUCUUUUACUUUGAAAAAAUUAGAGUGUUUAAAGCAGGCAUUUGCUAUGAAUACAUUAGCAUGGAAUAAUAAUUUAGGACUUCGGUUCUAUUUUGUUGGUUUCUAGGACUGAAGUAAUGAUUGAUAGGGAUAGUUGGGGGUGCUAGUAUUCAGCGGCCAGAGGUGAAAUUCUCGGAUUCGCUGAAGACUAACUUAUGCGAAAGCAUU
rnacentral:rRNA from 1 species